rnacentral:rRNA from 1 species
GACGAACGCUGGCGGCGUGCUUAACACAUGCAAGUCGAGCGAGUCCACCCUUCGGGGUGAGGCGAGCGGCGGACGGGUGAGUAACACGUGAGCAACCUGUCUCUGUGCGGGGGACAACCCGGGGAAACCCGGGCUAAUACCGCAUGGGCGGAGACUCCCUGAGGGAGACUUCGGGAAAGAUGGCCUCUACACAAAGCUGUCGUGCAGGGAGGGGCUCGCGGGCUAUCAGCUGGUCGGUGGGGUAACGGCCCACCAAGGCGACGACGGCUAGGGGGUCUGAGAGGACGACCCCCCACAUUGGAACUGAGACACGGUCCAGACUCCUACGGGAGGCAGCAGUGGGGAAUUUUGGGCAAUGGCCGCAAGGCUGACCCAGCGACGCCGCGUGCGGGAGGAAGCCCUUCGGGUGUAAACCGCUGUCAGGGGGACGAAAGAGGGGUGUCGGAAGACGGCACCUCGGUGACGGUACCUUCAGAGGAAGCGCCGGCUAACUCCGUGCCAGCAGCCGCGGUAAGACGGAGGGCGCGAGCGUUG